rnacentral:tRNA from 1 species
UCCCUGGUGGUCUAGUCGUUAAGACUCUGCACUUUCAAUGCAGGGGGUGUGGGUUUGAUCCCAGGGAA